rnacentral:tRNA from 1 species
GCGGUAGUUGUCUAGUGGUAUGAUAUUGCCUUGCCAAGGCAGUGGCCCGAGUUCAAUUCUCGGCUACCGCA